CUCUAGUGGCUGUGAUAUUGACAGCUGCUAGAGGCGCUUGCGUGCUUCUCACUGUGAUUAUGAAUGCUUUCCUAUGUGACCGGCUGAAUGCGCGCGCAGCUCUUGCCGCGCGUGCGCAUUCAGUCGACGGGGAGGAGAAGAGGAGGAUCAGAGGAGGAGAGCUCCCCGCCCAGCGCUGGAAAAAGGUAAGAUUUAACCCCUUUCCCCUUUCCAGAGCCGGGCGGG